GAUGAACGCUGGCGGCGUGCUUAACACAUGCAAGUCGAACGAUGAAGCCCAGCUUGCUGGGUGGAUUAGUGGCGAACGGGUGAGUAACACGUGAGUAACCUGCCCUUGACUCUGGGAUAAGCCUGGGAAACUGGGUCUAAUACUGGAUAUGACUUCUCAUCGCAUGGUGGGGGGUGGAAAGUUUUAUUGGUCUUGGAUGGACUCGCGGCCUAUCAGCUUGUUGGUGAGGUAAUGGCUCACCAAGGCGACGACGGGUAGCCGGCCUGAGAGGGUGACCGGCCACACUGGGACUGAGACACGGCCCAGACUCCUACGGGAGGCAGCAGUGGGGAAUAUUGCACAAUGGGCGCAAGCCUGAUGCAGCGACGCCGCGUGAGGGAUGACGGCCUUCGGGUUGUAAACCUCUUUCAGUAGGGAAGAAGCGAGAGUGACGGUACCUGCAGAAGAAGCGCCGGCUAACUACGUG
rnacentral:rRNA from 1 species